rnacentral:rRNA from 2 species
CCUUCGGGUGUGAGUGGCAAACGGGUGAGUAACGCGUGGGAAUUUACCUCAAGCUUUGGGAUAACACAGAGAAAUUUGUGCUAAUACCGGAUGUGCUGAUAUAAAGGGAUUUAUGUCGGGAAAGAUUUAUCGGUUUGAGAUAAGCCCGCGUUGGAUUAGCUAGUUGGUAGGGUAAUGGCCUACCAAGGCGACGAUCCAUAGCUGGUCUGAGAGGAUGAUCAGCCACACUGGGACUGAGACACGGCCCAAACUCCUACGGGAGGCAGCAGUGGGGAAUAUUGGACAAUGGGCGCAAGCCUGAUCCAGCCAUGCCGCGUGAGUGAUGACGGCCUUAGGGUUGUAAAGCUCUUUCACCGGAGAAGAUAAUGACGGUAUCCGGAGAAGAAGCCCCGGCUAACUUCGUGCCAGCAGCCGCGGUAAUACGAAGGGGGCUAGCGUUGUUCGGAUUUACUGGGCGUAAAGCGCGCGUAGGCGGAUAUUUAAGUCAGGGGUGAAAUCCCGGGGCUCAACCCCGGAACUGCCUUUGAUACUGGAUAUCUUGAGUAUGGAAGAGGUGAGUGGAAUUCCGAGUGUAGAGGUGAAAUUCGUAGAUAUUCGGAGGAACACCAGUGGCGAAGGCGGCUCACUGGUCCAUUACUGACGCUGAGGUGCGAAAGCGUGGGGAGCAAACAGGAUUAGAUACCCUGGUAGUCCACGCUGUAAACGAUGAAUGUCAGCUGUUGGCAGGUUUACCUGUCAGUGGCGCAGUUAACGCAUUAAACAUUCCGCCU